UAGAUACCCCACUUUGCCUAGUCACAAACUUUAACUUACAUUUCAUCGCCAGGGAACUACGAGCUAAGCUUAAAACCCAAAGGACUUGACGGUACCCCACAUCCCCCUAGAGGAGCCUGUCCUAUAACCGAUACCCCCCGUUUAACCUCACCACUUUUAGUUUUCAGCCUGUAUACUUCCGUCGCCAGCUUACCGCGUGAGCGAAUAAGUAAGCUUAAUGUCUCCAUCAAUACGUCAGGUCAAAGUGCAGCAAAUAAAGUGGAAAGAGAUGGGCUACACUCUCUAUCUUAGAGAACACGAAAGACUGUCUGAAAUAGCGGUCAAAAGGCGGAUUUAGUAGUAAAAAGAAAAUAGAGUGUUCUUUUUAACUUGGCACUGGGGUGUGUACACACCGCCCGUCACUCUCUUCAACAAAUUCAUCAAGUUCUUAACAAAACCUACCAAAUAGAAGAGGCAAGUCG
rnacentral:rRNA from 1 species